UACAGAGGGUGCAAGCGUUAAUCGGAAUUACUGGGCGUAAAGCGUGCGUAGUCGGUUAUCUAAGUCGGGUGUGAAAUCCCCGGGCUCAACCUGGGAAUUGCAUUCGAUACUGGAUAGCUAGAGUUCGGCAGAGGGAAGCGGAAUUUCGGGUGUAGCGGUGAAAUGCGUAGAUAUCGUCAGGAACGCCGGUGGUGAAGACGGGUGACUGGGCUGGUUCUGACACUGAGGCACGAAAGCGUGGGGAGCAAACAGG
rnacentral:rRNA from 1 species